UAGAGCCGCGGCUCCGCCCGUUCCUAGAGCUCUCCAGGAAACGCGGGGGGCGGGGAGCGGGUGGCCGCGCAGGGACCUUCCUGUUCCCGGCAGCCCCCGCACCUGGCUGCGCCCGAGCCCGGCUGCGCUGGAGACCCCGGGCCGAGCGGUCUUCAAGUGCAUCCAGCCACAGCAACACUGUGCAGAGAGACGGGGGCUGCAGGGGCAAGCUGGGAAAAUAGCCUUUGGAUUGCCAAGGCGUUGCCUGCACAGGAAACCCUGACCCACACAUCUCAGAGUGCAGGAUUCCUGACUCCUCACAUCUCCUUCCCCCCCAAAUGGAGCAAGAAGAGCCGUGCGUGGUGGAGCUCCAUGACUCUGAUGACCCCGAUAUCGUUAGACGAGUCUACAUAGCUGACGACGGCAUCGUGAGCGAGAGCGAGGAGGAGCUUCAGCACGAGAUCAUCCAGACUGUCAUCCCCCACAGCCCGCUGGCCAAGAAGCCCAAGAAGAAGGCUUCCCAGAGAGCCGACGGGAACAGCGCCAAAGCCCGAGGGCCAGAGAGCCCGGCAGGGCCACCCCCUGACUAUGGCAGCGAGUUGGUUGAAUUGGCUGGCGGGCAGGAGGAAGAGGGGGGGAUGGUGGUGCGGCACCGCGGGGCCACCGGCCGGCAACGGCCCUUCAUCUGUAACGAGUGUGGCAAGAGCUUCAGCCACUGGUCGAAGCUGCUGCGGCACCAGCGGACUCACACCGGCGAGCGGCCCAGCACCUGCAGCGAGUGCGGCAAAAGCUUCAGCCAGAACUCGCACCUGGUGCAGCACCGGCGCACCCACACCGGCGAGAAGCCCUACCGCUGCGGCGACUGCGGCAAGAGCUUCAGCUGGAGCUCCAACCUCAUCCAGCACCAGCGCAUCCACACCGGCGAGAAGCCCUACCAGUGUGGGGAGUGCGGCAAGAGCUUCACCCAGAGCAAGAACCUCAUCAAGCACCAGCGUACCCACUCGGGCGCCCGCCCCCACCGCUGCACCGAAUGCGGCCGAGGCUUCACCCAGAGCACCAACCUCCUCAAGCACCAGCGGCUCCACGCCGCCCGCCAGAGCCAGCCCUGCCCCGAGUGCGGCCAGGCCUUCCGCGAGAGCGCCGAGCUGGAGCGCCACCGGGCCGAAGCCCACGGGCACGAGCCCUACAUCUGCGUGGAAUGCGGGGAGAGCUUUGCCAAGAGCGCCACGCUCAACCGGCACAAGAGGGUCCACAAGCCCCUUUUUGUGCGCUGAGCGACGGGUGUGGAGCGGGGCCGUGCCCGUCACGUGACCACGCGUGGCAUCAAGAUGCGCUCCGUGUGGUUCAGUGCGUGGCUGGCCGCAGCGUUGAUGCCUCCAAAGCAUGACUAUGCCGGUCACGUGAUCAACCCCAGCAUCGCCGGACGUGGCUGUCCACGGUAUUGGUGUGUGCUGAGCGGGGCCCUCCACCGUUAUCGACGCAUGUUGAGCAUGCCUGUGCCAUCCAUGACGUUGCUGAGCAUGCCCGUGGCCCGUCAUGUGACCUUCCAUGAUCUCAACGAGCACUUAGCGUUGGCAAGACACGUGGCUGUCUAUGGCGUCACAUGGCCAGCCGCUAGAUUGGCCACACGCGACCCGCACACACAGUGUCAACGUUGUGGUCAAAGCCUUGGAAAGCAGACCUCAAAAAACUCACAGGGGACAGAGCUACAGAUGUACAUAAGAGCCUCUUGUCUCUCCCCCCCGCCCCAGUGGGCUAGUGUGGGACAGGACUUGCCCUUCUGAGGGCGUGGGCCGGCUGGAGACUGAAAGGAGGACUCGGCAAUGGAAGUGAAAGAGUGAAGCAGAACAGAAGCUCAGACCCCAACCCCCAGCCUGUCUGUGUUCCCUCUGGCCUGGGAAAGCCCCUUGGGUGACCUAAUGCAAGGCACCUGGCUGGCAGGGAAUCCCCUGAGGGAUCCCUCCAGGGCAUUGGCCCAGUUGCAUGGGCUGCUCCAAACGGUGGCUGCUCCCAGUGCAUACAGGUGAUAGGAAGAGCUGUUUCCCUUUGCCUGAGGUUUUCACAAGUGAUUGAUUAGUGUCCAACUCAAGAGCACACCGCCCCCCCUUAGAGCCUGGGCACUCAGCACCUGGUGAAACGCAGGCCCCAAGAUCUUGAUCCCAAACUGCAAGUCACUUCUCUCCAACGCCUGGAGUUCGUGGGCAUGAUUGGCAGAAGGGGGCAGGGCAUUUUCCCCCUCUGGGUGACUUGGCAUGAGCUGUGUCUUGUUGUAUGCGGUUAAGACCUCAGUGCCUGGUUUUCACGAGGCCAGUAGCCCCCAGCUCCUGCAGGAGUUUCAGACAGGCUGCUUCCGCCAAGGGGAAUAGAAACCAGGGGCAGCUCAGCGAUGAGGGCUGUCUAUUUUGGGAAUGAAACUCAGCAGGAACUAUCCGCUAGCGUGUCUCUGGCCAGCUGUGUUAAUACUCAAUAGCGGUGCUGGCCAUAGAGGUUUUCUCCUUUAGCUCUGUUCACCACCGUUCUCCAUCCCUGGCAGCAGGUGGCUUUGAGCUAGAGGCAGGUACAUUAUUUUAGGUUGUGAUGGUGUUGUGUGUGUGUGAAUCCCUUCGAAGUGAUGGACAGAGGAGCUGUGCACAAACAGAGGCUGAGAUUGUUAGUUACCUAAAGGAUUUGGACACACCAUAAAGGGAAUCCAGGUGUCUGAAUCCUCGGGGGAAGGUUAAAAAUGUUAACUCUAAGGACUGCAUCCAGGGGCAACAGAGGUGAACCAAUCUCCCUUCCUGCCUCUCUCAGCAGCUGGAGACAAAGAGGGAGGGAGCUCUCCUGCCUCUGAGCAGCUGUAGGGAAAGAGCCUGUGGCAUAAGACUGACCAGAUGCCUGCUUCCAGCUUGGGCUUAAUUUCCAUAGCAACCCUCCGCUCAAGGUCUACAUGCAGCUUGAAGCCUGGCCAGUAUUACCCCACCCCCAACCACAUCACAUCCAGCCCAUCAAAAACCCAUCACAUCAAGGCCUGGCCCCUGCUGCCUCUCAGAAUGGUCAACGGGCACUUGGGGGCAGCAGGGAAUAGCCACUGCUCCUCAUAGCCCUUCCUCCGCCCCCUAGCAGGAAACUGGGUCCCUGCUUGUAGUGCUCAGUGGCUGGAGAGGAAACGGGGGGGUGAGAGAAGGGCAGGCAGGGGCCCUGGGUAGGACCAGAGGGUACAUGUAUCUGACAAGAGACACACCCACAGCUUGAAAUCCAGCCAGGGGGUAAGGGUGCUGGUAGGUGCCAGUGACUUGCCUUGGGUCUGGGGUGCUCACCAGAUGCCAUGAGGGAAUCUUCACAUAGGAACCACCUUGUUUCCCUGUAGCACUCCAGCCAGACCUGCCAAUUAGAGACUAGGAAUCCCUGAAGAGGCCCCCCCUCCCAUGCUGCAUCCCCUGCCUCCCUCCCCUUCUGGAGCCAGAGCCACCAUUCCAGUAGGGCCUUUGCUGUUAUGUGGAAGGGGCUCAGAAUAGGGUGAUGGACAGAACCUUCAGACAGACAGAUCCACCCCACAUGUCAGCCGGCAACAACUUCCAGUGGAUUCAGGGGCCACACUGACAGCUGGAAGGUGUCCUAGCCCCACCCCUCGUGUAGCUCUCACCAGAGGCGGCCGAGUACCAUU